UGCCAGCCGCCGCGGUAAUACGGAGGAUCCAAGCGUUAUCCGGAAUCAUUGGGUUUAAAGGGUCCGUAGGCGGUCUGGUAAGUCAGAGGUGAAAUCCUGCAGCUCAACUGUAGCAUUGCCUUUGAUACUGCCAGACUUGAGGUUUCUAGAGGAGAGUGGAAUUAUCGGUGUAGUGGUGGAAUGCGUAGAUAUCGAUAGGAACACCAGUGGCGAAAGCGGCUCUCUGGGGAACACCUGACGCUGAGGCGCGAAAGCAUGGGUAGCAAACCGGAUUAGAUA
rnacentral:rRNA from 1 species